UCGAUUCGAUUUACCUUCGGGUAUUGAGGAUGGCGGACGGGUGAGUAACGCGUAAGGAACUUGCCUCUUGGUCUGGGACAACUGUUGGAAACGACAGCUAAUACCGGAUAUUAUGAGAUUCUCGCAUGGGAAACUUAUGAAAGCUAUAUGCGCCAAGAGAGAGCCUUGCGUUCCAUUAGCUAGUUGGUGGGGUAACGGCCCACCAAGGCGACGAUGGAUAGCCGGCCUGAGAGGGUGAACGGCCACAAGGGGACUGAGACACGGCCCUUACUCCUACGGGAGGCAGCAGUGGGGAAUAUUGGACAAUGGGCCACAAGCCUGAUCCAGCAAUUCUGUGUGCACGAUGAAGGUCUUCGGAUUGUAAAGUGCUUUCAGUUGGGAAGAAGAAAGUGACGGUACCAACAGAAGAAGCGACGGCUAAAUACGUGCCAGCAGCCGCGGUAAUACGUAUGUCGCAAGCGUUAUCCGGAUUUAUUGGGCGUAAAGCGCGUCUAGGCGGAAAAAUAAGUCUGAUGUUAAAAUGCGGGGCUCAACUCCGUAUUGCGUUGGAAACUGUUUUUCUAGAGUACUGG
rnacentral:rRNA from 1 species